GACAGAGGGUGCAAACGUUGUUCGGAAUUACUGGGCGUAAAGCGCAUGUAGGCGGCCACGCAGGUCGGAUGUGAAAUCCCUCGGCUCAACCAAGGAAGUGCAUUCGAAACCGCAUGGCUGGAGUCCCGGAGAGGGUGGCGGAAUUCUCGGUGUAGAGGUGAAAUUCGUAGAUAUCGGAAGGAACAUCAGUGGCGAAAGCGGCUUCCUGGACCAGCACCGACGUUCAGGCACGAAAGCGUGGGGAGCAAACAGG
rnacentral:rRNA from 1 species